rnacentral:rRNA from 1 species
UACGAAGGGGGCUAGCGUUGCUCGGAAUCACUGGGCGUAAAGCGCACGUAGGCGGAUCUUUAAGUCAGGGGUGAAAUCCUGGAGCUCAACUCCAGAACUGCCUUUGAUACUGGGGAUCUCGAGUCCGGAAGAGGUGAGUGGAACUCCGAGUGUAGAGGUGAAAUUCGUAGAUAUUCGGAAGAACACCAGUGGCGAAGGCGGCUCACUGGUCCGGUACUGACGCUGAGGUGCGAAAGCGUGGGGGGCAAACAGG